CCGCGGAGCCAUCGGCAGACGCCGCGGCCUCCCUUGAGCCCCGACCCCCGUCGUCAGAACAACCCCGGGCCCACUCCCCCAACCCCACUUCCGCUUCGCGCCGCUAUCGCGAUAGCGCCCGGGCCCGGGGCGCGAGAAAAAGGCGGCGGGCGCUCGCCUCCCCCGCCUGUCGCGAUACGCUCCUCAGCGGCGGCGCCAGCUCCUGUGCGUCAGUCUCCAAGAGAGUAUGAAGAGAGUGCGUCUGUAGGGCAGGGAAGAUGGCGGACAAGCGCAAACUCCAAGGUGAGAUUGAUCGCUGCCUCAAGAAGGUGUCCGAGGGCGUGGAGCAGUUUGAAGAUAUUUGGCAGAAGCUCCACAAUGCAGCCAACGCAAACCAGAAAGAAAAGUAUGAGGCUGACCUAAAGAAGGAGAUUAAGAAGCUACAACGGCUGAGGGACCAGAUCAAGACAUGGGUAGCGUCCAACGAGAUCAAGGACAAGAGGCAGCUUAUAGACAACCGCAAGCUCAUUGAGACGGUAGGAGCCCAGAGCCUGAGUCCCAGAGAGGUGGGAAGGUCACCGGAUUCUUGAGAUCCCAAGGGGCGGAGGCAGAGCGGCCAGACCCCAGAGGUCCUCAAGAGAAGUAAGGUUUCUGCACCUAAGGGAAGUGAAGAGGCAGCGGACUCAGAGCUCAGAAAGUAGGGUCACGAGGCUCAGGUCUGAGUGUCUGCUGGCCCUUAGUCAGCUCCUUUCCCACCUUUGAGAGCCCCCCUGCCAACUGCACUCUCUACAGCAAAUGGAACGGUUCAAAGUUGUGGAACGAGAGACCAAAACCAAAGCUUACAGCAAGGAGGGCCUGGGCCUGGCCCAGAAGGUAGAUCCUGCCCAGAAGGAGAAGGAAGAGGUUGGCCAGUGGCUCACGAAUACCAUCGACACGCUCAACAUGCAGGUGGACCAGUUUGAGAGUGAAGUGGAGUCACUGUCAGUGCAGACACGCAAGAAGAAGGGCGACAAGGAUAAGCAGGACCGGAUUGAGGGCUUGAAGCGGCACAUCGAGAAGCACCGCUACCACGUGCGCAUGCUAGAGACCAUCCUGCGCAUGCUGGACAAUGACUCCAUCCUCGUUGACGCCAUCCGCAAGAUCAAGGACGACGUUGAGUACUAUGUUGACUCAUCCCAGGACCCCGACUUCGAGGAGAACGAGUUUCUCUACGAUGACCUGGACCUCGAGGACAUUCCACAGGCGCUGGUCGCCACCUCCCCCCCCAGCCACAGCCACAUGGAGGAUGAGAUCUUCAACCAGUCCAGCAGCACGCCCACCUCAACCACCUCCAGCUCUCCCAUCCCGCCCAGCCCAGCCAACUGUACCACGGAAAACUCUGAAGAUGAUAAGAAGAGGGGACGUUCCACAGACAGUGAAGUCAGCCAGUCUCCAGCCAAAAACGGCUCCAAGCCUGUCCACAGCAACCAGCACCCUCAGUCCCCAGCUGUGCCGCCCACCUACCCCUCCGGCCCCCCGCCUGCUGCCUCUGCCUUGAGCACCACUCCUGGCAACAAUGGGGUCCCCGCCCCAGCAGCACCCCCAAGUGCCCUGGGCCCCAAGGCCAGUCCAGCUCCCAGCCACAACUCGGGCACCCCUGCUCCCUAUGCCCAGGCUGUGGCCCCACCAGCUCCCAGUGGGCCCAGCACGACCCAGCCCCGGCCCCCCAGCGUCCAGCCUAGCGGAGGCGGAGGAGGCGGCAGCGGAGGCGGAGGGAGCAGCAGCAGUAGUAACAGCAGUGCCGGUGGAGGGGCUGGCAAGCAGAAUGGCGCCACCAGUUACAGCUCAGUUGUGGCAGACAGCCCGGCAGAGGUGGCUUUGAGCAGCAGUGGGGGCAACAAUGCCAGCAGCCAGGCCUUGGGCCCCCCUUCCGGCCCCCACAACCCACCUCCCAGCACCUCGAAGGAACCCAGUGCGGCAGCCCCAACGGGGGCUGGGGGCGUGGCCCCAGGCUCAGGGAACAACUCAGGGGGACCCAGCCUCCUGGUGCCACUGCCUGUGAAUCCUCCCAGCUCCCCAACGCCCAGCUUCAGUGAUGCCAAGGCAGCCGGUGCCCUGCUCAAUGGGCCUCCACAGUUCAGCACCGCCCCGGAAAUCAAGGCCCCUGAGCCUCUGAGCUCCUUGAAGUCCAUGGCGGAACGGGCAGCCAUCAGCUCUGGCAUUGAGGACCCUGUGCCAACGCUGCACCUGACCGAGCGAGACAUCAUCCUGAGCAGUACAUCAGCACCUCCGGCCUCAGCCCAGCCGCCCCUGCAGCUGUCAGAGGUGAACAUACCGCUGUCGCUGGGUGUCUGUCCACUGGGCCCUGUGCCCCUCACCAAGGAGCAGCUCUAUCAGCAGGCCAUGGAAGAGGCCGCCUGGCACCACAUGCCUCACCCCUCUGACUCUGAGCGUAUCCGGCAGUACCUCCCCCGGAACCCCUGUCCGACGCCCCCCUACCACCACCAGAUGCCACCCCCACACUCGGACACUGUGGAGUUCUACCAGCGCCUGUCGACCGAGACACUCUUCUUCAUCUUCUACUAUCUGGAGGGCACUAAGGCACAGUACCUGGCAGCCAAGGCCCUAAAGAAGCAGUCAUGGCGAUUCCACACCAAGUACAUGAUGUGGUUCCAGAGGCACGAGGAGCCCAAGACCAUCACUGACGAGUUCGAGCAGGUGAGGGCCCCGCCCCCUCUCUUCCCGCUGCUAGGGUUGGGGUAGAGUCCCCAGGCUCCAGGCAGCCCCUGCUGGCCUCUGCUCCCUCGCCUCCACCUUUCAGCUGGCGCAGUCCCUCAGCCUGACCAAGUACUCCUCCCUCUGGCUGGCUGCUCAGCCUGGAACACCGCCCUCUCAUCCUCCACUUGGCCAGCUCCUAGGCCUCCUGUAGGUCUCAGCCCAAAUGUCCCUUCCUCAAAGAAACCUUCCUGGAGCCACCCAGCCCAGUGCCUCCCCUUUGCAGUACUGGGCACACUCGCUUGGGGUGUGGGAUUUUCCCAGUAUGUGUCCCUGCACCAGGCUGUGGGCUUUGCUGCCCAGGGACCUUGAUGGCCCCCACUUCACCUCCAGGUCCCAGCACUCAGCAGGGCAGGGGCUCAGUGCGGAAACUAUUUUUUUUGAAUGGGCUUCUCAAGUUCUAAUACUGGGAAAUUCCUGCUGCUUGCAAACACUCUGGAACCAACCUACCUGGGUUUCAGCCCAGUCCAGCUGGGCGACUCUAGGCAAGUCACUCGAACCUCUGUGUCUCAAUUAACUUAUCUGUAAAAAUGGGGGGAAGACCACCUACCUAAUGCAGUUGUUAUGAAGAUUAAAUGAGUUAAUAACAUGUAAGUACUUAAUGGUGACUGCUACAUAGUCAGUGUCAUGGAUUUUUUUUUUUUCAAAUUACUUUCAGCUGGUGUGUUCUACAGUGAUGUUUUUUUCCACCAAAUACUUCCCUGAUGCCGAGCCCCUUCAUGGGGAUGAAGUAGUACAAGGUCCUUGUCCUCAGAGAACUCAGUCCCCUCUCCUGGUUCUCCCAGGUUGCCAUCUUUGAAGCACUUAAGACAUUCGUUUAGAACCUAGGUCCUCUCCCAUUGUGUCCUCAGACGUUAACCACAGACUUCCUGUCCUUUCCUGGUUUGGCCCGAAACCAUCCUCCAAGUUAGUACAUUUCAGGGCAUCCAGUCAUUCAGAAAUUCCCACACCACUUCCGUCACCAAUAAAAUGUCCCUGCAGAGUGCUUGGAUUUAGACUCUGAGACUGUUCCAUUCUCUAGAACAAGGGUGACAGUACCCACUGCCUCGAGGUCUUUGUGAAGAUUAAAUGCUAGGCUGUGCAUCCUGUACUCACACGUGAGAGGUGCUCAAAAGCCACAGCCCUCGAGGAAACGAAGGCUGUGCACUCACACCUGGGGCUGGGGCCCCGUUCUGGCAGCUGGCUUCGGUGGAACCUCUCUGCGGCCCCCUCCGUUUCCUCCUCGCUGAAGUGGCAUGAUAACAUUUCCUACCCAAGAAGAACCUUGUGAGGGUGGAUGAGAGUGUGUGCGUGCAGGGCAGCUGGCCCGGUGCCUGACACAUCCACAGCCCUAAGAAUUGUCCCCUUUGUCUGUUGGUCCGGCCCAGAUCCCAGACCACCUCCUCGUCCACUCACUGACCGCCUUCUCCCCCGGCCAGGGCACCUACAUCUACUUUGACUACGAGAAGUGGGGCCAGCGGAAGAAGGAAGGCUUCACCUUUGAGUACCGCUACCUGGAGGACCGGGACCUCCAGUGACACCGGCCCCUCCCUCUACCCACCCCCUUCCCCCGCAUGCUGAUCCCCCUGCCCAGGUGAGGGCCCUGCCCUGGAAGACUGGAGGGAGGCCCCAAGCCACGGGGCAUCCCCCUCUCCCAGGAAGCAGGGAGGGGGCCGGGAGGUUUUCCUCUCAGCCCCACCCUGGGGGCCCGGGGGCGAGGGCUGCCCCCUCCUCCCCUCCCCAGUGAGGGACAUUUUUUGGUAAACCUAUUUUCAUUUUGGAAAAUAUUUAUGAAUAAAUAGUUUUAUAUG
rnacentral:sRNA from 1 species